rnacentral:rRNA from 1 species
UACAGAGGGGGCAAGCGUUGUUCGGAAUUACUGGGCGUAAAGCGUGCGCAGGCGGUUAUGCAAGACAGAUGUGAAAUCCCCGGGCUCAACCUGGGAACUGCAUUUGUGACUGCAUGGCUAGAGUACGGUAGAGGGGGAUGGAAUUCCGCGUGUAGCAGUGAAAUGCGUAGAUAUGCGGAGGAACACCGAUGGCGAAGGCAAUCCCCUGGACCUGUACUGACGCUCAUGCACGAAAGCGUGGGGAGCAAACAGG